UCCCUAAAAUUCUUAAUAUAAGCUUGUAUUGACUAUUUCGGUGAUGGAUGUAUGUGUGUGUGUUAGGGAUUUGUAGGCUGUAAUGAGUAUAUGUCAAGAACCAAAGUUGUGUCAAAGAAUAGACAAAUGAAGGCUCCAGAUCCGCAUAUAAUUCCUUCACAUGAAAGUUGUUGUGGAAAUAUAUCCCUUCAACUAUUCUUAAAAUGUUACUGCAUAUGAACUUGGAGGCGUUGCUUUGUGAGCAGUGGACAUUGCGCCUCCACCAUAGCGAUUAUUUAUUCAAGACAGGCGUUUGCUUUGUGAGCAGUGGACAUUGCUGCAGAGAUGGUGUAGGAGGACGACUUGUAGUUGAUGUAAAGUUAUUUUUUUUUUUGAAUUGUUAACUUGUAUUGAGUAAUUUGAGUGGUAUAAACUUUGAAGU